rnacentral:rRNA from 1 species
AGUGAACGCUGGCGGUAGGCCUAACACAUGCAAGUCGAACGGCAGCACAGUAAGAGCUUGCUCUUACGGGUGGCGAGUGGCGGACGGGUGAGGAAUACAUCGGAAUCUACUUUUUCGUGGGGGAUAACGUAGGGAAACUUACGCUAAUACCGCAUACGACCUACGGGUGAAAGCAGGGGAUCUUCGGACCUUGCGCGAUUGAAUGAGCCGAUGUCGGAUUAGCUAGUUGGCGGGGUAAAGGCCCACCAAGGCGACGAUCCGUAGCUGGUCUGAGAGGAUGAUCAGCCACACUGGAGCUGAGACACGGUCCAGGCUCCUACGGGAGGCAGCAGUGGGGAAUAUUAGACAAUGGGCGCAAGCCUGAUCCAGCCAUACCGCGUGGGUGAAGAAGGCCUUCGGGUUGUAAAGCCCUUUUGUUGGGAAAGAAAAGCAGCAGGUUAAUACCCCGCUGUUCUGACGGUACCCAAAGAAUAAGCACCGGCUAACUUCGUG